CUCAGAGUCUGACAUCCUACAUCAUGUGGGCUGUGGUGUUUCUAAUUGAGAUUAUAACUUGCUUAGUUAAAGUUUAUCUUCCUGAAAAAGAGUCAAUGUGGGGAUUUCAAGAAAUAGCGCGUAUGCCCCCUGCUACCCCCUGUUUUGAUGUAAUUAUCAAUCGCCUCGUGGUUAAAUGUUUGAACCUGAUUUUUCAUUUUAACUUGUCAGCUUUCCAGCAUGACGUUGCUGUUUUUUUCUCUUCUGAGUCAGUUUGGUACUGUCUGAAUGGAUUUAGUCAGUCAUUUACCUUUGUCUCUUCCCUCUUAUAAACGAGAAACACCGGGGCCUUACAGGAGUGACACUAAUAGGGUAAGAAAAGUUUAAAAAGCUGAACGUGUGUUUUCUGCGAUCGUGUUCCCUGUGCAUCAUAAGGGAAGUAGCCACAGCAUCCCAUAUACCUAAAUACAGAAAAACAAAUGACAAUCUGUGAUGUUUUUUCUCAGAAAUCAGCAAGUAUAUCUAUCAUUCUAGUUAUCCCAGUGUUCAAGAAGCUCUCUCUGCUUUCUCAGACCUUCAGGUAAUGUUUGCAACCCCUGCCUUGCCUCCAUCUUCCUUGCCUUCGUGGGUGUCAAAGCGCAGUCUUCCUCACUCGUGCCUCCUCUCUCCAGGAAGCGAAAGGCAUUGAGAGCUUCCAGGAUAAAGCAGCUCUGACUCUUUGGUGUCACUUCUUACCACUUCCAUUGCAAGUUAGGAAAAAAAGGUCAAGUUUGUAAUGGAGCUGAGUAGUUUGUAGUAGAAACGCAGCGGGGCUCCGAAUCUCUGAGCUCUACCACGUGUCCUGCAGCCUGGGUAAAGGAGCAGGCUGCGUGGGACAAGCAGUCAUCCCAGCGUGGCUGCUGUGAGCUGCCUGUUGUACAGUGGAGCUGUUGCUCUGAUCCCAGCCGCCUGGUGAAGUUGCAGAUUUCACCAGCAGCCUCGUGUCUGAUCUCAGAGCGUAAAAACAGACUGGAGUUUGUGUCGGUUCCCAUUUCUCUUGGAAGAGCUGCCUCUACGGACAUCCUGUCAGGAGUAAUGUGUGGGCAUGUAUGUGCGUGCGCGCAAGAUGCAGUGACAUGGACCAUCUUGCAGAUCAUGUCUCAAUGGAUAACCUGGGGAACAGAAAUAGUCCAACAUCAUCCUGGAAACUAGCAGCAGUGGUACAAUAAGAAACAAAGUCUUCUAAGUUUUCCCUGUGGUUAUCUGUCCAGUUUGAAGUGCAUUGAGCUUUGCCUGAUGUGCAAGCAGUAAUAAGCGUUAUCCUCCUGUCUUUGCAUGCACUCUUGGUGGUAAGAGUUGAAAACUGCUGCAUGAAGAAACAUCUUCUAAAUGCCAUUCUGCUGUUCUGCUGGGAAGAAAUACACAGUCCCGUACGCAAAGAUUCAAUUCACUUACAGAUGGAACCUACCAUUACAGAGAGGCACCGUCAACUCAAAAUCCAAUGAAAUGCACGGACAGAUUUAAAGUUGAGUCUCCUACAACUUCUGUUGAGUGUCCCCAGCAGUCCUCGUGAAUUGUGUUUGCUUGGCUUUAAAUUCCUGUCACGUGGUAAAAUUGACAUAAACAAAAAGAGGCUUGAGUAUGGCUUAUUACGCAGAGCUGUGCUAAUUUACAAGGUGUUUGUUGAAUGAGAGAUAUCAUACCUUCUGAGUAUGGGAAGGAAAAGUGAAGUGGUUAUAUGCAAAAAAAAAUAUCUAAAGAUAGAAGGUAAACAGUUAUGGAAAAGAUGGGUGAUGGGAGUAGAGUGAAGCCUGGGAUCUUACCUUCAAAUUUCAGUUAAUCUAGGUCAUUUUCUGUAACAGAAGGAUAAUAUCUAAAUACAGAUAUGAUUAAGUCAGUGUGGUUCCCUACCACAAUGCGUACCACGUCCAAGUCUACAUCGACAGCAAAGAACGAGAUUAAAGGUUUCCAGUAUAUGUGGUGAAUUUCAGUCCAGGCACAACAGUAUUAUUUUUUCAGGAUUUUUCCCUCAUAAGUUGAUACAACAUUGUAAAUAGCACACUACGUAUUGUUUGGAAAGAGCUCAGAAGGCCAUCUGAUCAGAACUGUCACAGUAAUUUUAUCACCCUUCUUUCAGCAUUUUCUCAGUUUUCUCUUCUAUAUUCCUCAGCACAGAAGCAUGUUAUUUUGCUGAUUUUAUACAGAUUUGAAUGUACUCUACGUUGGCCUUGUUAAGCGAGUUUAAAAGAAAAGAACCAUUCACAUGUUCUGCUCUGGACUUUCCCAUUUAGAACUGUAACCUGAAUUUUUAUACAAGUCUGCUAUAGUCAUGUUUACUGGUCGCCUCUAGGUCUUGAUGCUUCUUGCUUAUUUGUUUCUUACAUAGGUGGCUGGGAGCAGAUAUCGCCUUUAAAAUGUAAGGAUACAGCUGUCAUGGUUUUAAAAAAGUACUGUUAACUAACAUGCCUGCGCUAAUAUUGUAUAUCCAGUAUAUAUACAAUAUAUGUGUUUAUAGAUAGUGAUGUAAGGCGCUAUACAUCAAAUUGAAAUAAGCAGCAUUGGUUCACAUAUUUUUAUGGUGAUGGAAAUGCACUUACAGUAAAUGCCAAGCACAUU